GCUGGGCACCGUGGCUUGGGCCUGUAAUCCUGGUUACUUGGGAGGCUGAGGCUGGUGGAUCGCUUGAGCUCAGGAGUUCUAGGCUGCAGUGGGUGGUGCCGAUCAGGUGUCUGCACUAAGCUCGGCAUCGAUAUGGUGAUCCCUGGAGAGCUUGGGGUCACCCAGUUGCCUAAGGAGGGGUGAACUGGCCCAGGCUGGAAAUGGAGCAGGCCAAAACUCCUGUGCCAAUCAGUAGUGGGAUCAUGCCUGUGAAUAGCCCCUGCAGCUUAGCCUGGGCAAGACAGUGAGACAUGGUCUCUU
rnacentral:SRP_RNA from 1 species